rnacentral:lncRNA from 1 species
GGGCACUCGGGCCGGGUCCCGCGGGCGCCUUGUGCUCGCUCCCUCCAGGAGGGGACGGCUCUCGGGCAGGGGUCGCCGGCCCCUCCACGCGGCCUGCGUUCGUCCAGACUCAGAGCCUCGGGACGUGCGGGGGCCCGGGGGCCUCGCGGGCUCGCGCGUGGGGCUGGCGGCGCGGAUGCCCUGGGGCGCUGCAGACCCCGAGAGGCCGCUUGCCCGCGGGGACGUCAGCCGCUUUUGCUGUUAAAAUCUGAAAUGUUCAGCAAGUUAGAAACUUGAAACCUAAGGAAGCGUGACCGGCCGCUCUGGAAGCCCCCGCCGCGCGGCCGGUCCCGGCCCCGGCCCUCAGCGGCGCUGGCGUCUGCGCGUCCCGGGGCUGCCCCCGCAGCAUGUGGGGCUGGGACCCUCUUCCCGCGCGGGCCCCGGGCGGACGCUGCGGGCGGUGACGGAGCCAGGCCGGCCGCCUGGGUAGGGGACGGGGGCGCGGGACCACUUGCUUGCCCGUGGCCGAUGCCUCAUCCGAACGGAAAACGUUUUCUUCAGGGGAGACAGAGGCUGUGGGCGAAGGUAUUUUUUAAGCCUGAGGACCCAUUUGGGAGUUAGAUUCUGGAUCGAGCCUAGGGAUGAGGCGUCCUGCCUUUUCCAGCCUUAUCUAGGAAGUGUCUUGCCAGGUCACCAAAUGGCAAGCAGAACCGUAAGCUGAAGUUGUCUGCCUAGAAUUCCACUGUGGCAAUGUUCAGCAUCCCGACUGGACAGCUCCGUGCGGCGGCAUCGGGGGCGCGGCGGCAUCGGGGGCGCGGCAGCAUCGGGGGCCCUUUUCAUGCCAUUCAAGGCCCCGUGGAAACAGACACCACAGCUCAGCAUGAGACUGUGGCCCCACCUGACCUGGCUCAUCCAUCCCCAGCCUCUCGUGGUCCCCGGCCCUAUGCCGACAUUUGGCACUCGAUGAGCCAUUUCUCCACAUUUCAGGAGCCUUGUUUUAAGACAGCCUGGCUGUCUGAGAGCCACCGGAGUCGAGACUGGAUGCCCGGCCUGGUGCCCGUGGGCCAGCACCGCCUGAGGAGGAGGGGUCUCUGGAGGCCACAGGCAGAGCCACUGAGAGGGAUCUUUAAGCAGAGGGCCCCACACACCUCCUGGGACCCACGGGUGUGGCUGCCAUGCAGGGUCUGGGAGCUACAGAGAGUCGGGAACCAAGGGCGCGGUGGCUCACACCUGUAAUCCCAGCACUUUGGGAGGCCAAGGAUCACGAGGUCAGGAGAUCGAGACCAUCCUGGCUCAUACGGUGAAACCCCAUCUCCACUAAAAAUACAAAAAAUUAGCCGGGCGUGGUGGCGGGCGCCUGUGGUCCUAGCUACUCGGGAGGCUGAGGCAGGAGAAUGGAGUGAACCCGGGAGGCAGAGGUUGCAGUGAACCCAGAUUGCCCACUGCACUCCAGCCUGGGCAACAGAGCGAGACUCCGUCUCAAAAAAAAAAAAAAAGAAAGAAAAAAAGUAAAAACAAGAGAGUAGGGAGCCAAGUCCCUGGGUUGCCAAGUCAAUCCGUGGAAGCCCCUGACUUCGAGCAGGACACAGGGCCCUAAGGACAGCCCCAGCCCCUGCAGUGUGGCCUGCAAUGGGUGUCAUUCAUUUUGACCUGGCUGUUGUGGUUUUGGGUGGUAUUGUUAUUUGUUUGAAAAGAAAACACAUGGGCUGCGUAUGGCAUGAGCAAGUACAGACGUCAUUGGGAUCGGCUAAUGAAAAUGACAGAGUACUCUAAAGUGACACCUUACAGGGACGUGGUGAUGUGGCACCAGGCCCAGUGGCACCAGCACACCACCGUCUCGCUGGCAUUUCCACCGUGGUCCCUGUUAAACCAGAAAGAACGAAAGUGUGAUGGGGAAAAAUAAGUAUGUGUUUCUUGUAAAACACAGCUCAUUUCAAAACUACUGAGAACAAGGGGACAGUUUGAAAUUGGGCAGAGCCCCUUGGGACCAG